rnacentral:rRNA from 1 species
AUACGGAGGGAGCAAGCGUUAUUCGGAAUCACUGGGCGUAAAGGACGCGUAGGCGGGUUUGUAAGUCAGGUGUGAAAUCCUACAGCUCAACUGUAGAACUGCACUUGAAACUACAGACCUAGAGUAUGGAAGGGGCAGAUGGAAUUAGUGGUGUAGGGGUAAAGUCCGUAGAUAUCACUAGGAAUACCGAAAGCGAAGGCGAUCUGCUGGGACAUUACUGACGCUGAGGCGUGAAAGCGUGGGGAGCAAACAGGAUUAGAUACCCCAGUAGUCC